rnacentral:lncRNA from 1 species
GAUAAUUUGAUUAAAUUCAUUAUUCUGAAGAAGUCAAUAUACGCAUGUGCAAACAAAAUUUUUGGAUUUAGAGCUAACUCGAAUAAUUCUGCGCCCUCUAUCGGCCUAUAGCCUAUCGAAUUAAUGUAGCAAUCGGGGAUUAGACGGAGAUCAGCGGAAUAUAACGACUGACAUUAAUCGGGUUAAUUUAGAGCAUGAGUUUGUUCACAAAGCGGAAGACGCACGUCUAUGGCACGCC